AUGUUUGCGUUUCGUUUAAUUCAAACUUUUAUGUUGUUUAUUCACGCCGCUAGCUGUCCACCUCGUAGCUCCACGAUGUCUGACAGCGAGGACAGUGACUUCUCCGACAACCAGAGCGGGGGCAGCAGCGACGGAGAGGCCGAGGAGGUGAAUGAGGAGGAGACGGGGAGCCCCGUGGGCAGCGACAAGGUAGCAGAGGAGGAGGGGGAGGACCUGGAGGAUGAGGAGGAGUACGACGAGGAGGAGGACGAGGACGAUGACGACCGUCCCAGGAAGAAGCCGAGACACGGGGGGUUCAUCCUAGACGAAGCCGAUGUGGACGACGAGUACGAGGAUGAGGAAGAUCAGUGGGAGGAAGGUGCUGAAGACAUUCUGGAGAAAGGUGAGGAACAAGAGAGCUUUUUUUUUAACGGUUUAUUGUUCAGCUGUUAA
ensembl:lncRNA